UCUUGCGUUCCCCCGUUUCUUUUCACUAUCAACCAAAAUUUCCCCUUUUACCCUAAAUUUCAUAUUCAUCAAACCCAUUGUCCCAAUUUCAUUUCCGCUCAAAUUUCACGCUUUCUUCCUAAACCUGCAAUGGUGAAACAAGUCACUGCUGUGUUGGUGGAGCAAGUCGAUCGCAGCAGCAAUAUUUAAUAUGUUACCAUUAAAGCUUCUUUCCGGUGAGUACCUAGUUGUUCUUCUUUCUCAAUUUUAUUUUUUCUCUUACUCGAACCAAACCCUAGAACCGUGAGUGAAGAUUGGGAGCGGACAAGAGUGGAGUUGUUAUUGCAGGAAUGGUAAAGUGAGGAGUGUAAAGAAGAAGGACAGCGCGAGAAGCCCCACUUACCAUCGUUCCCUUCUUCCUCAUCUUUCACGUCCAAGAAAUCCCAUUCCUUUGCUCUAGGCAAUGCAGGGUAAGGGUUCACUCUGCAAUUGAUCAGCUCUUGCUAUAUCAAAGAUUGAAGAAAGCAAAGAAAGAGAAAGGUUAUACCGCCAAAGAAUGUAUCAAUAAAAUGGUUCUCUGUGUUGUUGGAAAAUGGAGCUCUAUAUACCGCAGCGUCACCAGGUUGUUGUGUUAAAAACAUGGCUAAGCCUUCCACUCUUGAAAAGACCCUUCUAAACGGUGACUCCAGUACAAGAAGCAACUCUGAUACCAUUAAGACAAAAGGAAAUGAAAAUUUACGCUGAAAUUCAAAUGCUGGAUUUUUUAAUAUUCUCACUUUCUCGUGGAUCAGUCCAUUAAUAACAUUAGGCAAUGAGAGGACUUUAAACCAUGAGGAUAUCCCACUUUAAACUAUGGGAUUUUUCAAACUUUUAGAAGCAAACUAGAGUCAGAGUGUGGUAGUGUUAGGAAUGUGACAACUCUUAAUCUGGCCAAGGUUUUAUUCUUGUGGACAUGGCAAGGGAUCUUCCUAUCAGGUUUAUUUGCAUUUUUGAUGUGUGCCUCUUAUGUAGGACCCUUUCUUAUUGAUAUCCUUGUUCAAUACCUCAAUGGAGAACACAUGUUUAAAAAUGAAGGAUAUGUUUUGACUGCGACAUUUGUUGCUGCAAAGCUUUUGGAGAGUCUUGCAGACAGGCAUUGCAUGUUCAGGUUCCAGCAGUAUGGGGUUCAAAUUCAAUCCAAGUUGGUGGCAAUGAUAUAUGCUAAAGUAUUUUUUUAGUUGCAGAUGUCAACAAUAUCGUGACAAUCAAAUAAUUGAAGUUAGGGAAGAUUGGUGCUUACAUGUAAUUAGUAUAUGUUUAUAGGUUAUGUUAUAGUGAUAUACAUGCUUAUAGGUACAAAUAGGAUAUAUAUGUUAUAGUUUUAUAUAUUGUCUUAUAAAGUAAUGUCAUGUCAUGAAACGUACUAGACGACUCAACGAUUAUUUUUGAAAUAUUAUUGUACCAAUAGUUUUUAU